UACAGAGGUCUCAAGCGUUUGUCCGGAAUGCAUUGGGCGUAAAGCGCGCGUAGGCGGCCCGGUAAGAUCCGUGUGAAAGUCAGGGCUCAACCCUGGAAAGCCGGUGGAUACUGCCGGGCUAGAGUCGGGAGAGGCGAGUGAAUUCCUGGUGUAGCGGUGGAAUGCGCAGAUAUCAGGAGGAACACCUAAGGCGAAGGCAGCUCGCUGGAACGGUACUGACGCUGGAGGCGCGAAAGCGUGGGGAGCAAACAGG
rnacentral:rRNA from 1 species